rnacentral:rRNA from 1 species
AUGGAUGAGGAAUAUGAUGCUCUUAUGAAAAACAAGACAUGGUGUUUGGUUCCACCAGUCAAGGGGAGGAAUCUUAUUGACUGCAAGUGGGUCUAUAAGGUCAAACGAAAAUCUGAUGGCACUAUUGACAGGUAUAAGGCAUGUUUAGUUGCCAAAGGGUUUAAACAGAGGGACGGGCUUGAUUACGAGGACACAUUUAGUCCUGUAGUAAAAGCAGCUACUAUCAGAAUAAUUCUUUCAGUUGCAGUCUCUAGAAACUGGUGCAUUCGACAGCUAGAUGUAAAGAACACGUUCUUGCAUGGUGUUCUUGAAGAGGAAGUGUUCAUGAGGCAACCGCCUGGGUAUGAAAACUCCAGAUUUCCACGUCAUGUCUGUAAGCUUGAGAAGGCAUUGUAUGGGCUGAAACAGGCACCUAGGGCUUGGUACUCUCGGUUAUCUUCAAAGUUGCAAUCUCUGGGGUUCUCUCCAUCUAGCGGAUACACCUCAUUGUUCUUUUAUCACAAGCAUGGGAUAACCAUUUUUAUGCUCAUUUAUGUUGAUGAUAUUGUUGUCACAAGUUCCUCAUCUCAAGCAGUUGAAGCUCUCCUCAAGGACUUGAGAAAGGACUUUGCACUAAAGGACCUGGGCAACCUGCAUUUCUUUCUUGGAAUUGAGGUAAAACAUGUACCAAGUGGAAUUGUGUUGUCACAGGAGAAAUAUGUACAAGAAAUAUUUCAGCGGAUGGGCAUGAAGACAUGUAAGCCAUCACCUACACCUUUGUCUGUCUCUAAAAAAUUGUCCCUUCAUGAUGGAGAGGCACUUGGGGCAGAAGAUGUCACCAGGUAUAGAAGUGUUGUAGGAGCAUUGCAAUACUUGACUUUGACUAGGCCAGAUAUUUCAUACUCACUAAACAAAGUUUGUCAAAUUUUUACAUGCUCCUACUAG